AUGUCAGCGCCAUCGCAACUGAGCAAGGACCCGCGCAACAAUUACUUCGACUUUGGGGCGGCGCGGCAGGUGCCGGAAACGCACAUGUGGGAGGGGCUGUAUGAGCACCCGGUGGUGGACGGCGGCGUCCGGGCCGGGGAGGACGCCGUGCCGGUGGUGGACAUGCAGGAUCCGCGCGCGGCCGAGGCGGUGGCGCGUGCGUCGGAGCAGUGGGGCGUGUUCCUGCUCGAGGGCCACGGCAUUCCGAGCGAGCUGCUCGCGCGCGUCGAGGCCGGAAUCGCUGGCAUGUUCGCGUUGCCGACGCCGGAGAAGAUGCGUGCCGAGCGGCAGGACGGCGAGCCCUAUGGCUAUGGGUUGCCGCACAUCGCGUCCUACUCCUCCAAGGCCACGUGGUCCGAGGGCUACACCUUGUCCCCGGCCAGCCUCCGUGCCGAGCUACGCAGGGUCUGGCCAGACGCCGGCGAGGACUACCGCCACUUCUGUGACGUGAUGGAGGAGUUCCACAGGCAGAUGCGAGCGGUGGCUGACAAGCUGACGGUGCUGUUCCUCGCGGCGCUCGGGCUCGCCGGCGAGCAGAUCGCCGCCGUCGAGGCGGAGCGCAAGAUCGUGGAGACCAUGUCCGAGACCGUGACCAUGCACCUCAACUGGUACCCAAAGUGCCCUGACCCGAAGCGAGCGCUGGGCAUGACGACGCACACGGACUCGGGGUUCUUCACGUUCGUGAUGCAGAGCCACGUCCCCGGGAUGCAGCUGUUCCGGCGCGGGCCAGACAGGUGGGUUGGGGUGCCGCCCGGGGCACUCAUCGUCAACAUCGGUGACCUCUUCCAGAUCCUCACCAACGGCCGCUUCCGCAGCGCAUACCACCGCGCUGUCGUCAACCGCGACAACGCUCGGGUGUCGGUGGCCUACCAUCUCGGCCCGCCCGCCGACGUCAAGGUAGCGCCGCUCAGGGAAGCCGUGGGCGCUGGCAAGCCCGCCUACCGCACCGUCACGUGGCGAGAGUACAUCGUCGUACGCAAGGAGGCCUUCGCCACCGGGGGCUCCGCGCUCGAGAUGGUCUCCCUCAGCCCCGAUGACCACGACGAUGAGGGUGAUGGCGCUGACCACAUAAGUGAAAUCCCGUCAUAG
rnacentral:rRNA from 1 species